UCCCCGUUACCGGGGCAGUCUGGCUAGAAAAAUACAACUAACCAUAAGGGUUGCGCUCGUUAAUGGACUUAACCAAACAUCUCACGACACGAGCUGACGACGGCCAUGCAACACCUGUCAUUAGGUUCAAUAAAGCACUCACUACUUUCAUAGUAAUUCCUAAGAUGUCAAACCCUGGUAAGGUUCUUCGCUUACCAUCGAAUUAAACAACACGCUCCACCGCUUGUGCGGGUCCCCGUCAAUUCCUUUAUGUUUUAGCCUUGCGGCCGUACUCCACAGGCGGGAUGCUUAACGCGUUAGCUUCGCUACCGAAGGGGUCGAUACCUCCAACAGCUAGCAUCCAUCGUUUACGGCGUGGACUAC
rnacentral:misc_RNA from 1 species